GUGGGCGUAGCUCAGCUGGCAGAGCACUGGGUUGUGGCCCCAGCGGUCACGGGUUCAAAUCCCGUCGCUCACC
rnacentral:tRNA from 1 species